AGCGAACGCUGGCGGCAGGCCUAACACAUGCAAGUCGAACGACCGCUUCGGAAUUACUGGCGCAUGGGUGAGUAGCGCGUCGGACCGGUCCGUUAGGCACCGGAUACCACAGUGACACUGGUGCUAAUGCCGGAUGAGUCAUUCGGGUGAAAGAUUGAUCGUCCGUGGAGCAGCCGGCGUCCGUCUAGCCUGUUGGGGAGGUAAAGGCCCAUCAAGGCGACGCUCGGUAGCUGGUCUGAGAGGCUGCUCCGCCACUAUUGGACGGGGACACGGCGCAGACUAUUGCGGGAGGGAGCAGUGGGUGAUCUUGCGCUAUGGGCGAGAGCCUGACGCAGCCAUGCCUGUUGAAUGAUGAUGGUCUUAGGGUUGUAAAAUUCUUUCACCCGGGACUAUUAUGACGGUACCCGGAGAAGAAGCCCCGGCUAACUUCGUG
rnacentral:rRNA from 1 species